AUUGAACGCUGGCGGCAGGCCUAACACAUGCAAGUCGAACGAGUGGCGGACGGGUGAGUAAUGUCUGGGAAACUGCCUGAUGGAGGGGGAUAACUACUGGAAACGGUAGCUAAUACCGCAUACCAUCGGAUGUGCCCAGAUGGGAUUAGCUAGUAGGUGGGGUAAAGGCUCACCUAGGCGACGAUCCCUAGCUGGUCUGAGAGGAUGCCCAGCCCCACUGGAACUGGUACACGGUCCAUAAUCCUACGCGAGGCAGCAGUUGGGAAUAUUGCACAAGGGGCGCAAGUCUGAUGCAGCCAGGCCGCGUGUAUGAAGAAUGCCUUCGGGUUGUAAAGUCCUUUCAGCAGGGAGGCGUUACCCGCAGAAGAAGGCCCGGCUAACUCCAUGCCAGCAGCCGCGGUAAUUC
rnacentral:rRNA from 1 species